rnacentral:rRNA from 1 species
GAUCCUUCCGUAGGGUGAACCUGCGGAAGGAUCAUUGUCGAAACCUCCAAAUGACCCGCGAACUAGUUAUCCCUGCGAACCUGCGGGGGUGUUGUGGGCUUCUGUCCCGGCGCCCCCGUGCCGGUGGUGGCCAGGCACGCCAAGCUCUUGGCACGCCUGGCCCAUCACCUGCCCAACAAACAAACCCCGGCGCGGCACGCGCCAAGGAACUUUUGCAUCAUAAGAAGUGUAAGGCUCCCGGCUGUGCCGGAAAUCGGACAACACGGUCGGGGGCUUCCUUCUGUUCAUAACAAUAACGACUCUCGGCAACGGAUAUCUAGGCUCUUGCAUCGAUGAAGAACGUAGCGAAAUGCGAUACUUGGUGUGAAUUGCAGAAUCCCGUGAACCAUCGAGUCUUUGAACGCAAGUUGCGCCCGAAGCCUUCUGGCCGAGGGCACGCCUGCCUGGGUGUCACACAUCGUCGCCCCCCAAAAUCCCGAUAUCUCGCCAGAGACAAUCGGGAAGAGGAUGGGCGGAAAAUGGUCUCCCGUGCGCUCCCGUUCGCGGUUGGCCCAAAAAUGAGUUCCUGGCAAAGCAAAGCCACGACCAGCGGUGGUUGUAAGACCCUCGGUACAAGUCGUGAGCCUUGCAUUGCUCGUAGGGACAUGUUGACCCUGAACGUGAUCGAGUAACAUCGAACACUCACAAAGUGACCCCAGGUCAGGCGGGACUACCCGCUGAAUUUAAGCAUAUCAAUAAGCGGGAAGAAA